rnacentral:tRNA from 1 species
CGUGCCGUAGGCAAAUUUGGUUAAGCCGCGUGCCUUUCAAGCAGGUGAUUGCGGGUUCGAACCCCGUCGGCACGAUCA